rnacentral:rRNA from 1 species
CCUACGGGUGGCAGCAGUGGGGAAUAUUGGACAAUGGGGGGAACCCUGAUCCAGCCAUGCCGCGUGUGUGAAGAAGGCCCUCGGGUUGUAAAGCACUUUCAGUGAGGAAGAACGCCUGGUGGUUAAUACCCAUCAGGAAAGACAUCACUCACAGAAGAAGCACCGGCUAACUCCGUGCCAGCAGCCGCGGUAAUACGGAGGGUGCGAGCGUUAAUCGGAAUUACUGGGCGUAAAGCGCGCGUAGGUGGCUUGAUAAGCCGGUUGUGAAAGCCCCGGGCUCAACCUGGGAACGGCAUCCGGAACUGUCGAGCUAGAGUGCAGGAGAGGAAGGUAGAAUUCCCGGUGUAGCGGUGAAAUGCGUAGAGAUCGGGAGGAAUACCAGUGACGAAGGCGGCCUUCUGGACUGACACUGACACUGAGGUGCGAAAGCGUGGGUAGCAAACAGGAUUAGAUACCCUGGUAGUC